UCUAGGAGAGCAAGGCCGAGCAUUCAAGGCUUGUCCCUGAUGCCCUUGGCCCCCCCAGGCCUCUGGUCUUCCUGCUGUCUCCCUGGGGCCUAGCUUACCGAGUGUGCUGAGCCUGGGGGGAGCACUAGCAUUCUGGCUUUUGGGAGCCUGCAGAGGGCCACCGCACUGUUCCCACCCACCCCCCAACACACACACUUAGCUCCCCAGAAACCUACGUGGGCUGAGGGCCAACCUCCGCUCCACCUGGACCCCUGACAUGCCAGCUGACAUGCUUUUGUCAGCUGACAUUUGUUUCUCUUCCCACUGGUGGAACGAAGACCUCCCUGCCCUCUGCCCUGGCCGCUGGCCCCCCCUGACAGCAGGCCCGGAGAGGGGCACGGGGGCUCCAGCCCAGGCUCCCCCUAAGAUGCUAGCUGACUGUGCCCCGGGGGCUCAGGCCUUUCUCGUGCCUGUAGCUCCACUCCACCCCUCCAUGGCUCCCCACCAGUACAGGUCUCUCUUGGCCUAACAGCAGCCCUAGAAAGCAGAGACUGUCGCCACGUUUUUAAAAAAACUCAAAUCUUGGAGGUGAAGACACCUUCCUGGGAAAGUGAAGAGUGGGUUGUGAACCCCUACCCACAGCACACAGCGUAGAGUCUCCAACUCCCACACUUGACAACCUGUCCUGCCUCUGAGUCUUAGGACAAGGAGAACCGGAUUUGGCUGCAGGUGGGGGUUGGCAGAGUAGCUUGGCUACAGGUUCUUGGGGCUCCUGCCAGUGUGUCCCAAGGGACAAAGCCUCACACAGCUGGCCCCAGUUAUAGCCAUCCAGAAACCCACAGAAAACCUCGGGCCCAGAGUCUCCCGUGACUCCAGCACACAUGGGGUUCAGAGUAGGUGGGAGAUGCCCCCUUCCCUUCUGCCAGCAGAAGGGUCCUGACUGAGCUUGGCUGGAGCAGGGGCUGACCCUGUGGACUCUGCUCCCAGAGGGUAGGAAGCUCUGGGGCACUCGAGCCAGCAUCUCCUGGGCAAGAGUGUUCUCAGAAGGGAGAUCACCCCGUCACUGCCCCCCAUCGCCACUUCCUCUUGUGAUUAGGACUGAUAAGAUUGUUCCUCUGGGGUCAUGAGAUGAUCAAUGGCUGUUUCCAGCAGAGGCCAAAAGAAGAUAAGAGUGGGGGAAGGAGCAUGAUGUGGGGAAGGGACAGAGGCCGCCCAACUGGCCCUCCAAUCUCCUCCCUGCGAGUCUGGAGAUGGGUGAGGCACACCUGGGAACCACUACAGCCCCUCCCGAUCCAGCGCCGGGUGGGGAGAUGGAAACAAGAGACAGGAACAAAGGGUUGUGUGGUGAUUGGGUGAACUAUUGCAAGUGACAGAAAUGCCUGACUGAUAAACAGCUGUUAAAUUUCCAGGCUGGGGUCUGAGGCCAGCCCGGAUGAGUAAAGCCUGCUCGCACAGUGCUCCAGUGUCACACAGCACUGCCGCUUCCCCUCCGAGUAGCCCAGGGCUGGGCACACACCUGCCUUCUCUGAGUCUUACAGACCUCGUGUGUAACGUACUCCUUUACUGCCUUCAGUGAAAUCUACACAUAACAUCAUCUACCUACAUAAAUACCCCAAGUAAGAUAAAAGGAAAGUAAUGGAAUGUAAUUUAUAUUAAAAUAAAACAUUUUUCAGUGCAA